CUGUCUUCUGUUCCUAUAGCCUAUGUGACAUCAGGAACUGUUUUGUUCCAGAAGCCCUUGCAGCUGGACACAGUGAAGGACUGUCCUUGUUAGUGGUCUGUCAGGCAUCUGGAUGGGGCAUAGACCUGUCAGCAGUGGAGCUGUGCUGCAGCUUGCUCAUCAGCAGGCACCUCACCAUGUCACAGUGAAUCCAGGCACUGCACAGAACCUCCUGCAUAGCUCAGGAUCCCAGCCCACAGCACGGUGCUCUUGGCCUCAUCAGAUUUCAACACAGCAAUGAUAUCUUUUUUCUUCUUCCAGAACUUUUCUUCCUGGUUUUGAGACACUUGAAAGAGAGCAUCUCCCAGUGGCAAAGAUAAGAGCCCACGUCCUUCCUGCAUCCUGUGGCUGUGCAUUCUCAGCCACAAGAGUCAGCAAGUCCCCUUCCAGAGGGAAGCGAUUUGGACAAUAACAUCUCAGACUGAUGCUGCUAAUCUGGCCUUACCCAAGGGAAGUGGGUGAGGUCAGAAGACGGGGAAGGACUUGACUGCUGUCACGAGGAUGGUGAAAUUGAUGCAUCAAAUAGAGCUGAAUGCUGCUGUAAAGGUUGAAUGACCAGUGUGUAAAUCCAAGACUUCUCCAAAGGAAGAGAAGAGAAGAAAUAGUAAGAGAGAUGGACUCACUGGUCAGUGGACCAAAGAUCUUUGAAUGAUGUCGAUGUUGAACAGGAUUUACUUUGACACCUACUGUUCAUUAUGGCUUAUUUCCACUCCUUUCAGUGUUGAUGACAUUGUGUUGUGUAAACAACUGGAGUUGUUAUCCUGAAAUAAUAAUUUCUGUAUGUGACCCUGAGAAUGUUACAUCUCCAUAUCAGAUCAGACACUCAUUGUGAUUGUGUGAUAUGUCCAUCCCACCAUCAGUGCUCUCCUAUGCCUGGAGAUGACGUUCUGACUUUGCACAUCUGCUGCUGAUUGUUCAUUCAUACAUGAAUCCCAAGGAAGCAGAACGGUAAAAUAGUGACCAAGCAUAUGUUUAACUUCCAUUUUGGAGUCUUGGCUUUCUGGGAUUGAAAUCUUGAGAUAAAACACGUGGGUUUCUAUUGUGUCUCUAGGGAUGCAAAGUUAUAGUCCUGUAGAAUACGUAUUGUGUAUAAUGCAAAGUUGUUAUUUCUCCAUUAGUGAGGCUGGUGCUGGAGUUGGCUGUUAGCGUGUCAUUCUUCUGACACAUCAUUAAUAAACAGGUAAUUU